rnacentral:rRNA from 1 species
AGAGUUUGAUCAUGGCUCAGAACGUACGCUGGCGGCACGCCUAACACAUGCAAGUCGAACGAAGUAGCAAUACUUAGUGGCAGACGGGUGAGUAACAUGUAGGUAUCUGCCCUUUGGCCUGGAAUAACACGAGGAAACUUGUGCUAAUACCGGAUAAGUCUUUACGGAGAAAGCUUUAUGCACCAUUGGAUGAGCCUGCACUUGAUUAGUUUGUUGGUGGGGUAAUGGCCUACCAAGACUGUGAUCAAUAGCUGAUUUGAGAGGAUGAUCAGCCACAUUGGGACUGAGACACGGCCCAAACUCCUACGGGAGGCAGCAGUGGGGAAUCUUGCACAAUGGAGGAAACUCUGAUGCAGCGAUGCCGCGUGAGUGAAGAAGGCCUUUGGGUUGUAAAGCUCUUUCGUCGGGGAAGAAAAUGACUGUACCCGAAUAAGAAGGUCCGGCUAACUUCGUGCCAGCAGCCGCGGUAAUACGAAGGGACCUAGCGUAGUUCGGAAUUACUGGGCUUAAAGAGUUCGUAGGUGGUUGAAAAAGUUAGUGGUGAAAUCCCAGAGCUUAACUCUGGAACUGCCAUUAAAACUUUUCAGCUAGAGUAUGAUAGAGGAAAGCAGAAUUUCUAGUGUAGAGGUGAAAUUCGUAGAUAUUAGAAAGAAUACCAAUUGCGAAGGCAGCUUUCUGGAUCAUUACUGACACUGAGGAACGAAAGCAUGGGUAGCGAAGAGGAUUAGAUACCCUCGUAGUCCAUGCCGUAAACGAUGUGUGUUAGACGUUGGAAAUUUAUUUUCAGUGUCGCAGGGAAACCGAUAAACACACCGCCUGGGGAGUACGACCGCAAGGUUAAAACUCAAAUGAAUUGACGGGGACCCGCACAAGUAGUGGAGCAUGUGGUUUAAUUCGAAGAUACGCGCAGAACCUUACCAACACUUGACAUGUUCGUCGCGACUCUAAGAGAUUAGAGUUUUCGGUUCGGCCGGACGAAACACAGGUGCUGCAUGGCUGUCGUCAGCUCGUGUCGUGAGAUGUUGGGUUAAGUCCCGCAACGAGCGCAACCCUCACUUUUAGUUGCCAUCAUUUAGUUGGGCACUCUGAAAGAACUGCCAGUGAUAAGCUGGAGGAAGGUGGGGAUGACGUCAAGUCCUCAUGGCCCUUACGUGUUGGGCUACACACGUGCUACAAUGGUAUCUACAACAGGAAGCAAGACUGCGAAGUUAAGCAAAUCCCUAAAAGAUACCUCAGUUCGGAUUGCACUCUGCAACUCGAGUGCAUGAAGCUGGAAUUACUAGUAAUCGUGGAUCAGCGUGCCACGGUGAAUGCGUUCCCGGGUCUUGUACACACCGCCCGUCACACCAUGGGAGUUGGUUCUACCUUAAGGCAAGGUUUCAAACCCUUGACCACGGUAUAGUCAGCGACUGGGGUGAAGUCGUAACAAGGUAGCCGUAGGGGAACCUGCGGCUG